rnacentral:rRNA from 1 species
AUACGAAGGGGGCUAGCGUUGUUCGGAAUUACUGGGCGUAAAGCGCGCGUAGGCGGAUUGGUCAGUUAGGGGUGAAAUCCCAGGGCUUAACCCUGGAACUGCCUCUAAUACUGCCAGUCUUGAGUUCGGGAGAGGUGAGUGGAAUUCCUAGUGUAGAGGUGAAAUUCGUAGAUAUUCGGAAGAACACCAGUGGCGAAGGCGGCUCACUGGCCCGAUACUGACGCUGAGGCGCGAAAGCGUGGGGAGCAAACAGGAUUAGAUACCCUAGUAGUCC